rnacentral:rRNA from 1 species
UACGUAGGUGGCAAGCGUUGUCCGGAAUUAUUGGGCGUAAAGCGCGCGCAGGCGGUCCUUUAAGUCUGAUGUGAAAGCCCUCGGCUCAACCGAGGAGGGUCAUUGGAAACUGGGGGACUUGAGUGCAGAAGAGGAAAGUGGAAUUCCAAGUGUAGCGGUGAAAUGCGUAGAGAUUUGGAGGAACACCAGUGGCGAAGGCGACUUUCUGGUCUGUAACUGACGCUGAGGCGCGAAAGCGUGGGGAGCAAACAGG